AUUCUCAGAAUAUAUGGAGAUGCUUUAGGUCAGCGUGUUAAUCAUGACAAGAGUUCCAUUUUCUUUCCUUCUAACACUCCUGAUACUGUGAGGAAUUCUUUGAAGGCGAUACUGAACAUUCAGGUGGAGGCCUUUAGUGAGAAAUAUUUGGGUUUGCCCACGGCAGUCGGGCGUAUCACGAGCGGUACUUUUGAUCAUAUGAGUGAACGAGCUCAUGGAAAAAUUUAG
rnacentral:rRNA from 1 species